UCUUCGUAGGUGAACCUGCGAAGGGAUCAUUACUGAGAUAGGGUUCUUCCGAGCCCGACCUCCAACCCUUUGUGAACACAACUUGUUGCUUCGGGGGCGACCCUGCCGUUUCGACGGCGAGCGCCCCCGGAGGUCUUCUAAACACUGCAUCUUUGCGUCGGAGUUUAAACAAAUUAAACAAAACUUUCAACAACGGAUCUCUUGGUUCUGGCAUCGAUGAAGAACGCAGC
rnacentral:misc_RNA from 1 species